rnacentral:rRNA from 1 species
ACGCGUUAAGUAGACCGCCUGGGGAGUACGGUCGCAAGAUUAAAACUCAAAUGAAUUGACGGGGGCCCGCACAAGCGGUGGAGCAUGUGGUUUAAUUCGAUGCAACGCGAAGAACCUUACCUACUCUUGACAUCCAGAGAAGCCGGAAGAGAUUCUGGUGUGCCUUCGGGAACUCUGAGACAGGUGCUGCAUGGCUGUCGUCAGCUCGUGUUGUGAAAUGUUGGGUUAAGUCCCGCAACGAGCGCAACCCUUAUCCUUGUUUGCCAGCGAGUAAUGUCGGGAACUCCAGGGAGACUGCCGGUGAUAAACCGGAGGAAGGUGGGGACGACGUCAAGUCAUCAUGGCCCUUACGAGUAGGGCUACACACGUGCUACAAUGGCGCAUACAGAGGGCAGCCAACUUGCGAAAGUGAGCGAAUCCCAAAAAGUGCGUCGUAGUCCGGAUUGGAGUCUGCAACUCGACUCCAUGAAGUCGGAAUCGCUAGUAAUCGUGGAUCAGAAUGCCACGGUGAAUACGUUCCCGGGCCUUGUACACACCGCCCGUCACACCAUGGGAGUGGGCUGCAAAAGAAGUAGGUAGUUUAACCUUCGGGAGAACGCU